GUGGGUGUCAGGUAUUUUGUCCCAUGGACAGAAAAUCAACUCAUACAACAUCUUAUUUACCCAUCUCUUCUGUAUGUCUACUCUAAUUCACACUAUUUUCAUUGAAAAUAACUUUUGGUGGUUAUUAAGGCUUAACAAUGAGAAGACAUUCUAAAAGUUAGUUUUGCUAUCCUCCAUUUAUUGUUCAACGCCUUUACUGAGAACUGAUCACCUACCAACACAUUAAACUGUAAUGUUCCACCAUCACCUUAAGGUCUCCCGAACAAAACAAAACACAGCCCCCAGUGAGGCACGCUCUGCCUACCGGACUGCCUGUCUGCAGGCCGGACUGAUGCCCACUUGAGUAUCUGGGGACGCAGUGCGGGUGUAGCCGAUCUUUCCGUGUUUUCGUUUUCUAAGUCGAAAUGUGGUCUCUUGCUUCUUACCGUCCCCCAGCUUGCUCUUUAACUGUAAAGCUGCAGUCCUACCACCUACUCCUGUGAUGCUCACUGCAGAAGCUUUGCGGAGUUUCAGUGGUGUCGGUCACCUUGGGGUACAUACGCCUCCUUCUUCUUUCCGAUUGUGUCUGACUCCUCGUGCAGCAAUGUCCUUCUCGAAGACCUUGCCACACUCACAAAGCCGUCCACACAGCCGUCCUCACCCUGCAUGUGCGUCCCUGGGCUUCGGCUUUCAUCUCUUAGCAGGAAAAAGCAGUGCUAUUUCAAGAGGUUGAGAGCCUCUUUACCAUCACCAGACAUCCCGGCC
rnacentral:lncRNA from 1 species